rnacentral:lncRNA from 1 species
UUUAACUUCACGGAAAGGACCCGGGGCUCUGUGGCUUCCCAUCCGUCUUGUGACCCGGAAUCAUGGUGAUCUAAAAGAGCCCUGUGACUCUGGGAAAUUUGUUAUCAAAGGAUGUUAGCCACAAGUCCUGUUGGCAAAUGGACCCCAGGUGGCCUGCAGUGCCAAGCUGUUUCCCUGCCAGCCUCCCAGUCUGGCCCUGACUCUCCAAUGUGUCACAGAAUAAAGAAAAAGACUGGGAGAGAGAUGGGAGCUGAUAGACCAGAGGAGACCAAAGACUGAAACUGAAGACUAAACCAUGGAAAUUGGGAACAAGCACUUACUCGCUUAGAGGGUGAAAAAAGUGAAUUUGCCUACAGGGCCAAUUUGGAAGCACCUCUCCCUGGAAGCCAGUCAAUGAAGAGCCAUUGGAGGAUUUUAAAUAAGGAACCGAAAAAUGGAGUCUGAAAAUAGAGGCGCAGAGACCGGUUCUUCCCCAAACCAUCAUGGACCAGUUGGACUCUGAGAAGAAAAGUUUCUGAUCUUUAGUUCAUUCUUCCAACUCUCUAGAAAGCAGGAAAACUGAGAAUGAAAAAUUCUAAAUUACUCAGGACUCAUGGGUUGCCAAUAGAAGAAAUACAUCUUAAACUAGCUUAAGCCUGAAAGGGAAAUGUAUUUGUUCAUGUAACUGAACCAUAACGAAGGAUGGUGGACUGAGGGACCUGAAAACACCCUCAGGACUCCCUCCCUCUCCUUUGUGCUCCUGUCUGAUGCCGUCUUCCCAGACCUGCUCACUCUCCAUAAGGUGGGGAUGUGGCCAUCAGCAACGUGUACUUCCCCGAAGCUUGUGACCUGAGUAGAUAGGCAUCUCCCAACCCACAAGGAUUGAAAAGUUCCUCUAGGAAUUAUGUGGAUUGGCCCAUUCACUAUGACAUGUUCCCCCUAAGCAGCUAAAGGAACUGGGUCUGUUACCAGAAGAGGUGGGAGAGGGGUGCUAGGCAGAUUGAACAACAGCCACUACAACAUCUGAGGAGGAGACCUCCGUGAAGGCCACCAAGUCUGCUAGCAGAUAUUUCCUCCCUCGGAUCUCUCUCCCUGUCCUCACAGUCUCAUAAGUGAGGAUUAAAUACUACAUGUGGCCUAGGAGAUCUUAGACCCUCCACACGAAGAUAUAGUAACAAUCAACAUCCUAGUGUUCUGGCAGAGAAAAAAUCAGAAAGAAUCGUUUGCCUGAUUUUUCCAUCAAUACCAAUAAUUAAUUAGAGAUGAAAUUUGUGAUGGACUCAGAGAAUUAGAGAAGAUCUAAGGGAAUCUAGAUGAUUUCCUACCCCUAACCAGAGCCUCACAAAAAAGGGUGAAGAUCUAUGGCCGUCUUGCGUUUGGUGUGAGGCUGGACAAGGAAGUUCCUAAGGUCCUUUAGACUCUGUGAGAUCAUGAGUCCGUAAAACCCUUCCAACUUGAAAUUAGUUGAUUCCUUCCUUAAAUUUUCUGGGACAUUCCCCCACUCCCUCCACUCUUAUUAGCUGAUUUUACUGACCAAUAGGCCUUGAAGUUGGGCGUUCCAUCUAGAUGUCUCACAUCAACUCACCUUUUGCAAAUUAAGCCCAUACCCUUAAAGAGGGGAAUUCUCAAGCCAUUAGAAACUAGAGAGUCAGCUGGGCAUGGUGGCUCACGCCUGUAAUCCCAGAACUUUGGGAGGCCAAGGUGGGUGGAUCACUUGAGGUCAGGAGUUCGAGUCCAGCCUGACCAACAUGGCGAAACCCCGUCUCUACUAAAAAUACAAAAAUUAGCCAGGGGUGAUGGCAUGCACCUGUAAUCCCAGCUACUCAGGAGGCUGAGGCAGGAGAAUUGCUUGAACCUGGGAGGCGGAGGUUGCAGUGAGCCAAGUUUGCACCACAGCACUCCAGCCUGGGCAACAGAGUGAGACUCAGUUUCAAAAAACAAAAGAACAAACAAACAAAAACUAGAGGGUCUCCUCUUAGUUCUUAAACCCUCUUAGUCAACAUUUGUGAGCCUCUUUUCUGUAUGUUUUGGCAUCUUUAUUCCUUUCCUUCGUGUCUUGACCAAAUUCACCAGAUCAUGACUCAGAACAAAAUCCUGAGGUUGAAUAUAGAGGUCUAGAACAUCUUCAAAUUAACUGUUUCUCCUCAUAGAGAAUUAAAGAAAUUGAGAAAGCAAGAG